CUCAUUAACAUAACUGAAGGAUAUGAUAUUUUGGUAGUACAUUGUCCAUUAAAUAUAUAUGUAACGGCCCCGGAAACAUUAAAAUGGUAUGAGUAUUUAAAUAUAUCAAAUGCGGAAGCGAGAUCAAAAUUUCAGUUAACAUCCCUUACACGAAAAACCAGAAACGUACUUAAAAUAUAAAAGAUUAAACUAACUAAGAGAGAAACUCGAAAAUAAAACUAUGAGUAUGACUACAGAGUCUCUAGGCAUCCCCUUCGUCGUCCUCCUGCGGAACGGGCUCGGGAACCAUGUCUUCCUGAUCUGAAAUGGUUAAAUAAGGAGUGAGCUACACUAGCCCAGUAAGAACAUCACGAUAUCUCACCGUCACGGAGGUAAAGGUGGGUAGAAAAACACAAAAAGACCAAUGGAGCAUAAUUUACAAUAAACUCGUUUAUUAACAUGAAAACCUUUACCAUCCACUUACCUCGGUGGAAUUUAUGAAAACAAUAUAAGAAAAAUAAUAACAUUAUCACAAUCAUGGAAUAAUAUAAGCUGUAAAACAUAGCACUUAUCACGCCUUUUGUAAUUCAAUCAUUAUACAACAUAUCAUUUUCUCAUUUACCAGCCUACUAGUAUCCAUGGGGGUCCCGCUACCCGUUAACCUUUAACAUUCAUAAUCAGUUUCCAGGGCCGUCCCCAUACCCCGUCCGGUAUGAGCGCCAAAACCAUAAACCUCAAUACCCCGUCCGGUAUGAGGGUGAAAACGGGCCGUCCCCAUACCCCGUCCGGUAUGGGCGCCAAAACCAUAAGAUCUCCAUACCCCGUCCGGUAUGUGAGACCACAAUCCCGGUAGGGUUCCCUACGGACCCGGUCCGUCCACCAUCUCCCAGGAUAUCUAGUCAGGCUGACCCCAUCAUACAAUUAUCAGUCUAUACAAUGUUUCAUUUCCCUUUUCCUCAAUAAGCAUCAUCAAUUCACAUUUAAAC
rnacentral:lncRNA from 1 species